rnacentral:rRNA from 1 species
AUACGGAGGGUGCAAGCGUUACUCGGAAUCACUGGGCGUAAAGCGCGCGCAGGCGGCUAUUUAAGUUGGAUGUGAAAGCCUACGGCUCAACCGUAGAACUGCAUCCAAAACUAUUUAGCUAGAGUGUGGGAGAGGAAGAUGGAAUUAGUUGCGUAGGGGUAAAAUCCGUAGAGAUAACUAGGAAUACCAAAAGCGAAGGCAAUCUUCUGGAACACUACUGACGCUGAGGCGCGAAAGCGUGGGGAGCAAACAGGAUUAGAAACCCGUGUAGUCC